AAAAAGAAAAAAAAACUUGAGGCAGCAUAUCAUUUAAUCAAAAGCUCUUUCUUUUAUAUACAUAUAUAGAUGUAUGUAUGUAUGUAUCUUUUUGGGGGUUGGGGAAGCAGCCACAAGGAAAUUGCAUCGGAAAGCCAUACAAAAGAAGCACAUAAAGAGUUUUUCCUCAAAACUUGUGGCCACACACUCACAAAUUGAUUUGGUAUGUGAAGACGGAUAAUUGGUUUUCGAGCGGACUGCAGGGCUCUAGGAAAGUUUUCACGGCUUUUGCUGAGCGCAUCAACCACAUCGACGUAAGUUUCAUUAACAAGUCAAUUAGAGCGCCCCGUCGAUAGCCAAUUGGCAUUUUUAAUUAAGUACGACAAACCAAAAAAGAAAAAAAAAGAAACUUUACAAUCUGUUUAAGCUCUAAUCAAAUUUCUGGCUUAUAAAAUUAAGAACUUUAACAAUUCAGCAAUUUCUCGAAUUUCUCAAUUCUCUAAUCAGUCAGUUAUUUAAAUUGAGCACAAGUGUGUGAAAUAGAAGUAUAAUAUUACUCAUCCAAAUUACCAAAGCCUUUCUCUCUACAUGUCAAUUUAUAUGAGCAUGCUAAAAGCUUGAUGCAACAUAAUUGCCAACACACCAUUCAUUGCUGUUUCUGUUUCUGUUUCUGCUUGGGAAUACUCUAUCGACUAUGUAGUAUUUGGCUCAUUGGGGAGCACGUAAAACGUAUGACUAAUCAAUGGCUCUGACAGAAAGACUCUCUGGGAGACGCUCUACGCUUGGGCGAGUUUCACAAGCUUCAAGAGACGCAGCGGAGUAUAUUCAGUAUAGUAUACAACGAUGAGUAUGAGAGCUUUUCGUAUGACUCUUAACGAGUAUACCGAUUGUAUUUGCAUUUAUAUUGAAUACUAUAGUGGCACAUGUAUGCGAGUUUAUAUAUAUACAUAUAUAUCGUAGUUAUGUGUGCGAUCGCGCCAAAUGCCAAACAAUGUGAGUCACGAUAAUCAACGUUGAGCACACCGCAAACACGUCCACAUAUAUAUAGAGGGCUCAAAACACGAGGGUGGUGCUGUAAAUACAUAUUAGGAAACUCCCCCGAAAGGCAAGUUCUCAUAAAAAAUAGACUCUCAAAAGGGAUUAGCUUAAAUGUGUUUUAU